rnacentral:rRNA from 1 species
GACGAACGCUGGCGGCGUGCCUAAUACAUGCAAGUAGAACGCUCAGUUUAUAAGCUUACUCUUUUCAGAUUAGUCUGUAAGUGGUGAGUGACUCGUAAGUAACCUGCUAUCUAGCGUGGGAUCACUGUUUAACACGAUAGCUCAUACGGUAUAACCAUGUAUGAUUCAUUAUUGCUAUUUAAUAGAUUCAAAUGCUCCAUUACAAGAUUGACAUGCGUUGUAUUAGCUAGUAGGUGAGGUAAUGGCUUAACUAGGCGACGAUACAUAGCCGACCUGAGAGGGUGAUCGGCCACACUGGGACUGAGACACGGCCCAGACUCCUACGGGAGGCAGCAGUAGGGAAUCUUCGGCAAUGGACGAAAGUCUGACCGAGCAACGCCGCGUGAGUGAAGAAGGUUUUCGGAUCGUAAAGCUCUGUUGUAAGAGAAGAACGGGUGUGAGAGUGGAAAGUUCACACUGUGACGGUAGCUUACCAGAAAGGGACGGCUAACUACGUG